AAUGAACGCUGGCGGAGGCCUAACACCAUGCAAGUCGACGGUAACAGAAAGAAGCUUGCUUCUUUGCCGACGAGUGGAGGAGUGGUGAGUAAUGGCGGAGCAACUGCCUGACGGAGGGGGAUAACUACUGGAAACGGGAUCUUAUACCACAUAACCUCGCAAGCCCAAAGCGGGGGACGUAAGGGCCUGUUGCCAUCGGAGGUGCCCAGACGGGAUGGGCUAGUAGGGGGGGUAACGGCUCACCUAGGCGACUCGCGCUAGCUGAUCUGAGAGGAUGACCGGCCACACUGGAACUGAGACACGGUCCAGACUCCUACGGUAGGCACCAGACGGGAAUAUUACGCAAUGGGCGGAAGUCUGAUGGAGCAAGGCGGCGCGUAUGGAGAUGGCGUUCGGGUCGUAAAGUACUCUCAGUGGGGAGGAAGGGACUACAGUUUAUAUCUGUAGUCAUUGACGGUACCCGGAGAAGAAGCACCGGCUAACUACGUG
rnacentral:rRNA from 1 species